UCUACCCUCCAUCGAAAAAAACCAGCGUAACAAAAAACCCUGGGAUCGAUCCCUCGUUCACACAGCAGAUCAAUCUCCAUCGCCGCCCGACCGCACGCCCGAUCCACCCCUACGCCCAAUCCACGGCGGAUCCAUCUCUGUGCCGCGCCGAUCCAUCCCUCUACCGCGACCGAUCGAAACCUUCACCGUCGCAGAAGGCCGCCGCCCUCCACUUCAUGAGCCGGAGCGAUCGCGUUGAGGAUCUGUCGGCCUCACACGUCAGAGCCGCCGCCCUCGCACGAGGGAUCCGGCGACGGUGCGCUUCAGGAGGACGUCAAUCCCCCAGAUCCGACGCUGUUCCCGUUGAGGGCAUGCCGCCGAUCACGUCCAGGUUCCCCCGCCGAUCGCCUCGGUGCCGCCCGUCGGUGCGGCGGACCCGGCGGCAGCUGACGGGUGUGGAGGGAGGUUGGGUAGAUCCAGUGCAUGCUGAACUGCUGAUGAACCGGCUCUAGCGCUCAAUCCCUACCAAGGGCCAGCGUGGUCUCUAGAAGAGGUUUGGUCCCAGCCUGGUUGGUGAUUCCCAGGGUUGCCGGUCUUCAUCUCUCCUGUCCAAUGAUUCUUUUACUAUUACAGUUGAAGGCGUCUGUGAUUGGUGUGCAAGGCAGACUUGAGGGACGACCAAUAGAACAUCCUUGAGAAGACGAUGGCACCCAUCAUGUAAUUGUUCCAUGGGAUUGUGACCUGCAUUGAGAUUUCAGUGCUCUGUGCUUCGCCAGACUGAGAUCAAAAAGACCCCCAUUGUAUCAAUUUACAUUCGUAACACUUUAUUAUGUCAAUUUGUUGAUUGUUCAUAAUGACACUGGAUAUUCUAACAGUUGCUCAGCCUCACGUAAUAUUCCAACAAUGUAUAUUUUUUGUAAUUUUGAUUGUUCGUUAAAGUUCUAGAUACUAUGCUCGAGUAGAGUAGGUUUACUAUAACAAUUUUUUUAGGAAUAACAGGUGCAGAAGGUCUUCUACCAUCCGUGGUGUGAGGGUUUUGAAGGAGAUAUUCAUUCUAUGUGACCAUGACAGGAUGGGGAACAAGAUUCAGGUAUAUGAUUUGAGGUUCGUAGUGAAGAAGAGCUGUGAGAAACUGCAGUUGCCUUCUUUUAUUGGUAUGGACUAUGAACCGACCGCAUCUUUUCACUUCCCUUCGUAGCUCUUGGGUUACAUGUUAAUUAUGAACUGAGAUAAGCAAAAUAUAUAGUCCUGACAUGAGGAGCCUAAUAUUUUAGACGGCCAUUUAAGCACGUUAUUAUCAAUUAUUGAUUCUGUAAUAUUUAUUAGCAGUGCAUCGCUAGAAUUGUUUUUUCCUUAUUUUACCUAUUAACUAGGAUGAACAUGUAUUCUCUUCUUAUAAGAACUACAUGCAUUGCACUAAAUCUGUCAACGUUAUUAGUACCACAAACUUCUGUAGGUAAAACUUAUAUUUAACCAAAGUUUAAUGUCCAUUUUGAAUCACUUGUUGUUUAAGAUUUACACUGCAUUGAUAUGAGUAAAAAAAUGACCUUGUUUUUUGUUUCAAUUUUGGGGUGAUGCAUUAAAUAUUUAAGGCAGUUUUGGCAGAACAGGGGAAGUGCACACAUUUGAUGAUUAUUUUUUCUGUACAAUUGAUUUAUUUGAUCAAAAAGUAUGCAGUUAGCAUGUCUUGCCGUUGUUUUAAAAGCCAUUUCCUGAUAGAAAAUACACAUCAAUUGUGUUUUUUUCCUACAGCAACACAUGGACUAUUAUCUUUUCUUUUUGGCAAUCACAGGGAACAAAUACUAUGGGGAUCAAGUCAGGGAUUCAUGGCAAGGGAUUGACAAAUUUUUAUCAAAGCAGUUUGCUACACACUGCAGUGUGACAGAAAAUCCGUUUCGAAAAAAGUGUGACAGAAAAGGUGUGCUAUUGUUUCCACAUCUCCUUUUGCUAAUCACUAAUGUUUUUCCCAAGUCUUCUCUUCCUUUUUGUAUUGACCUAGAAAUAGUUUUGGCAUUGGAGUUAGUUUCUUCAAUGUUUUCAUUGUUCUUAUCGGGAAGUGUGAAGUGAAAAUCCCAAGUCCCAGGUUUGCAUAGGCCCUUAUUACUGGUGUGCUGGUAUGGACACAUGAGGGGUGUGCUAUGGAUAUUUUUAUGUGAGAUAUUUGUUUCUCAUUUUAGUGGUCAUUCAAGUGUGAGUUAUGUGUAUCUGUAACAUGCAAUUGAGUGCCGAAACUUUCAUUAUACCUUAUCAAGGCCAUUUACAGGUUUACAUGAGCAUUUAGUUAGCAGCCUCAUGACCUCAACUAUGCAUUAUCUGUUGAUCUAACUAUCUCCUAAUCUUUUUUCUCAGAUUUUAGUUACCCAUUGCUUACACAAUGAUAGUAAGACCAAUUGCAGGGAUGUUUGAUCUUGCUCUUGUUCUGCAUGGAGGUAGGGUAUAGUUGAUGUUUCAUGUUUGGUGAAAGAAAAGGAGCUUCCUAUGUGGAUUUCGGGCAAGACAUACAUUCUGCUAUACAUUAGUAGAUUAAUUGCUUCUCUGUGUAGGGGGACGAUUAGUGAUUAAAUCUCUCGGUCAUGUUUCAUGAUCAUCCAAUUAAUUUACCCCCAUCUAUGCAUAAAUUGGUCUGAUUGAGUUAUGCCAUUUUUAUAUAAUAAUCUAUAUUGGUCCUAUAUAUGACUAGAACAAUAUGAUACGACGCACAUCGGUCUGCUUUAGUGGCAUCUACUCCCUCCGUUCCAUAUUACUUGUCGCUGAUUUAGUACAAAGUUGUACUAAAUCAGUGACAAGUAACAGCGACAAGUAAUGUGGAAAGGAGGGAGUAUCUUUCAUGGUGAAGGAGGGGAGGCACUCGUGUGGAGCUGCGAAAUGUUCAAGGAGAUACGGCUGAUUAAACCAGUCCAAUCAAGACAAUUUGCAGCUUUGGUGUUGUGACGUUGGUGGCCGUGCUCAGCGGCAAUGGGGGACUGUUGCUGAUGGCUGACCUAAGAUGCCAGCGAAGGAACGAGAGUCAAUGAGGAGUGCACGCCAUGGGUUCGUGAACUGGCCAAGCCACCGUUGUUCGUUUGGUAAUGUCCGACGCAUUAGAGGCAUAGUAUGACUUGAGCCGAUUUUGACGUCAUCUAUCAACAUCUGACGAAGGGGAACCUGUCCUGGUUUCCAUCUUGAUGGACUUAACAUGAUGCAUGCAAGGAUAUACUAAAACUAUCACACCAAAGGCGAGGAUCCUUGAUCUCCACCAUAGCGAUGAAGCCAGUGUAGGAGUCGCCGUCUUCGCCAAGGAUAGUCACAAUGACGGAAAGAAUAGAUCCAUGGGAGCAAGAAGAGGGAGGACAACAUAUUUUAGGAUCGUGGUGCGAGUAUUAAAGGAAUGUAUAAAUGCAUGGGCAAUAUGUUGCUAUUUCAUGACAUAUGUGCUUAUUAAUUGAACAUUCUGAUAUAUUACGUGCACCUUUUAAGUUUUAUUAUUAGUUUCCAUGCUAUACUGUGUUGAUGUCUCAUGAUUUAAUUAAACUUUCUUUGAGCUAUAUAUUAUUGUUUUGGCA